ACUGGACCUGCGCGGGCAGCACGUGGAGGCAGUGGGGCGCUUGCGGAAAAUGGGGACCCCCAGGAGUCCUCUGGGCUGGGGACCCACCGUAGCUUGCGGGAGUCUUGGAUCUGCCUUUUAGUGCUGGGAUAUCGGAGAUAGUCUCCACCAAGGCAGUAGCGACUAUAAACAAGAGUUAGGCCGUGAUUUACUUUUCUCCCCUGGGCCUCACGAGUCUAGCGUUAGGACGGGAUGGGGUAGUCUGGAAAGGCCUCUCGCUGAGGUGACCUUUGAGCAGUCACCUGAAGAGAAAGAUUUACUAAUAAGGAAACUGAGGAGGCCGAGAUUACUCUCACCCCCGCCACUGCAUUUCCCUAAAAUUUCCCCAAGAUUGGUGACUUACAGGAAUUGCAUACCCUGUAGGUCCUACAAACCUGGAAAGCCUACAAGACUCUUGAUGGUAUCCUAAAUUUCCAGAAACCUUAAGUUUGGAAGUAGCCACAGAAAAUAAUUUAAAAAUCGCUCGGUUUCUUUCAAAAAUUAAAAAAAGUGCUAAGAUAUGGUCAAGAGAUGGAAUAGUAUAAUUUUCACGAGAAAAAAAAAGUUCUACACAGAGCAAAUUCGUUAAAUAUUGAGAGAAAUGUAUAAAGUGCGGCAGGGAUAGGAGGUUGACCAAAAGUACAGGGAAGAAUGCAGAGUGGAUUUCAAUAGAUGGAGGAGGAACUUUCCUCUCACUCAAAGGCUUGGAGGAAAGUGCAAGUGGAUUUAAGGAACAGAAAAUGUCAGCAAAACAGGCUAUUUGAGGAAUGGGGAUUAGGUUGAGGCAAAUUGUAGGUUUCCUCUGUCCCUUGCACAGACGUUAACUCUACCAUUGAAUACGAAGUAUUUCAAGCAAGUAAGGCAGGUGCAGCUCCAGUUUUUUCAGAUUUCUGUCCUGGUGGGUCUCAGUUCACUACACAGCCUCUAGCAGAAGUGAUCCUUAGGGUCUGGUCUGGCAGGAAUUUAUGCUGGAAGUUUAGGGGUAGCUGUCGCCUUCCUUUCAGCACUAUUGGGUCUACCCGGA
rnacentral:lncRNA from 10 species